GAUCUUUUUUGAUUUUUUUUUUCUUAUUAUUAAUUUAAUUAGUGAAAAAUGUAUAAAAUUUGAAUUGAAAUCAAUAGUUCAAAUAUUAAUUAUUGAAUUUCAAAAUCUAUUAUAAGGUUGUUAGAAUUUUUUUUGAGAUUUUAAAAAUUGAUUAGGAUUUGAUUAGGAUUAGAAUUUGGUUAGGAUUUAGGUUUUGAUUAGGAUAAGAAUUUGAUUAGGAUUAGGAUUAGGAUUUGGUUUGGUUUAGGAUUUUUUUAGGAUUCUUUAGGAUUCUUUUAAGAUUCUUUGAAGGUUCUUUUGAUUUUUUAAAGAUUUCUUUAGGAUUUUCUUAUAUUUCUUUUUUAAUUUAUUUUAAAAAUAAUAAAUAAUAAAUAAUAAAAUAAAAUACUAAUAAUUGGACUUAAUUGAUGCUUUAUUAUGUAUAUUAAGCUUCUAUAGCAAAUUAUACACGAUUUU
rnacentral:lncRNA from 1 species